ensembl:snoRNA
AGCCACUGAUGAGAUUGAUUCUGCCAGAUGAAUUAGUAUGAUUUUACCCUUUCCGUUCCACUUUGUGCUGAGGUU